rnacentral:rRNA from 1 species
UACGGGGGGUGCAAGCGUUGUUCGGAAUUACUGGGCGUAAAGCGAGUGUAGGCGGCCCUGCAAGUCAGAUGUGAAAGCCCUCGGCUUAACCGGGGAAGUGCAUCUGAAACUGCUUGGCUUGAGUACCGGAGAGGAAGGCGGAAUUCCCAGUGUAGAGGUGAAAUUCGUAGAUAUUGGGAGGAACACCGGUGGCGAAAGCGGCCUUCUGGACGGAUACUGACGCUGAGACUCGAAAGCGUGGGGAGCAAACAGG